rnacentral:rRNA from 1 species
UUGACCUACGGGAGGCAGCAGUGAGGAAUAUUGGUCAAUGGGCGAGAGCCUGAACCAGCCAAGUCGCGUGAAGGAUGACGGCCCUACGGGUUGUAAACUUCUUUUGUCAGGGAGCAAUUGGGUCCACGCGUGGGCUUAGCGAGAGUACCUGAAGAAAAAGCAUCGGCUAACUCCGUGCCAGCAGCCGCGGUAAUACGUAGGGGGCAAGCGUUAUCCGGAUUCACUGGGUGUAAAGGGAGCGUAGACGGCGAGACAAGUCUGGAGUGAAAGGCCGGGGCCCAACCCCGGGACUGCUCUGGAAACUG